AGUGAACGCUGGCGGUAGGCCUAACACAUGCAAGUCGAACGGCAGCACAGUAAGAGCUUGCUCUUACGGGUGGCGAGUGGCGGACGGGUGAGGAAUACAUCGGAAUCUACUUUUUCGUGGGGGAUAACGUAGGGAAACUUACGCUAAUACCGCAUACGACCUACGGGUGAAAGCAGGGGAUCUUCGGACCUUGCGCGAUUGAAUGAGCCGAUGUCGGAUUAGCUAGUUGGCGGGGUAAAGGCCCACCAAGGCGACGAUCCGUAGCUGGUCUGAGAGGAUGAUCGGCGACACUGGAACUGAGACACGGUCCAGACUCCUACGGGAGGCAGCAGUGGGGAAUAUUGGACAAUGGGGGCAAGCCUGAUCCAGCCAUACCGCGUGGGUGAAGAAGGCCUUCGGGUUGUAAAGACCUUUUGUUGGGAAAGAAAAGCAGCAGGUUAAUACCCCGCUGUUCUGACGGUACCCAAAGAAUAAGCACCGGCUAACUUCGUG
rnacentral:rRNA from 1 species